AUUAUUAUUAAUUUAUUGUUUACUACUUUAACUUUUGAAGCAAUAUUCCAAAGUUAGUUGGUUGUUUGUAAUUAGAUUUUUUUUAUAUUUUCAUUGUUAAUUUUUUGUUUAAGUUUUCACACACACACACACACACACACACACACACACACACACACACACACACACACACACACACACACACACACCAUCAAUGAUUCUUAAUCGGCAAACUGGACCCUUAGUCUGUAAAUUGGACCCUUAGUCAGCAAAUUUUCGACCCUUUCGAUAUAGGUUAGACAGUCGUCAUGAAAGUCGGCAAAUUUUGGAAAACGAGGACCUUUUUUUUUUUUUUUAGUCGCCAAAAGUUGUAAUGGCACCCCCCAACGUGACACCUACUCGCGCCGGCCCUGCUUGCAAAUAGGUACUGCAAAUUUUGUGACUUGCAAAAUAAGUGUGGUUUGCAAAUAGGUACCGAAAGUUUUGUGGCUUACAAAUUGAUAGUUAGCUCUGGCUUACCUUUACGAGGUUGGAGUGGUUAAUCUGUUCCUUUACAUGAUAAUGUAUACUCAGAUGCAUCUUGUAAUGUGGUAGAAUAGUUUUUUAUUCUAAUUUCUUUUUCUUUAAAAAAUACUUUAAGACUUCUUUGUUAAAUUGUAAUUAAAAUUUUUUUAUUUGGUUCCAAUAGAGGAGGGGGAUAGCUUGCUCCUCUUUUUAUAAAGACAAAUUAUACACCUCUAGGUGUAUAAAUUGCUUUUAUGAAAGGGGGUGCAUAAAGGCAAUUUAUACAUACUAUACUACACUUUUUUAUUUCAAAAGGCUUGUUGUUUUCGUGUAUUUUUUUUUAGGUUGGAGUGUAUAAUCCGUCUUUUUUCAUGACAAAAUGGUUACUCUGAUGCAUUUUCAAUUGCAAGUUUCCAAAUACAUGCAAAGUAAAGAAAAUUGUUGGCGACAUGUAUUAAAGUCUUCUGUCAUAGUUGACUCAGCAAGAAUGAAGACAUUGAUACACUUUUGCAUUAUGGAAUACCCAAUUUGGCAGUUCCUCGCCCACUGCCACCCAAAUACAGGUA